rnacentral:rRNA from 1 species
UACAGAGGUCUCAAGCGUUGUUCGGAUUCAUUGGGCGUAAAGGGUGCGUAGGUGGCGCUGUAAGUCGGGUGUGAAAUUUCGGAGCUUAACUCCGAAACUGCAUUCGAUACUGCGGUGCUUGAGGACUGCAGAGGAGACUGGAAUUCAUGGUGUAGCAGUGAAAUGCGUAGAGAUCAUGAGGAAGACCAGUGGCGAAGGCGGGUCUCUGGACAGUUCCUGACACUGAGGCACGAAGGCCAGGGGAGCAAGCGGG